UACGGAGGGUGCGAGCGUUAAUCGGAAUUACUGGGCGUAAAGGGUGCGUAGGUUGUAUUAUAAGUUAUCUGUGAAAUCCCUGGGCUCAACCUGGGCAGGUCAGAUAAUACUGUAGUACUCGAGUAUGGGAGAGGGUAGUGGAAUUUCCGGUGUAGCGGUGAAAUGCGUAGAGAUCGGAAGGAACACCAGUGGCGAAGGCGGCUACCUGGCCUAAUACUGACACUGAGGCACGAAAGCGUGGGGAGCAAACAGG
rnacentral:rRNA from 1 species